AAAUGGUGGCCCGGCGUUGGUUCCUGUCCUAUGACAGGCGAAGAGGGAAUGCGAUAGGGUCCGAAUCCGCAAGAUCCGGAUCCAAAAUGCAGCCGCCCCCGCGACCGUGACCGGAGAGAUGCCCGAAGCCACUGACUCCCGAAAGGGAAUCGGGAAGGCGGGGAUCGAGGGGCCAAAACCCUGCUCCGCAAGCCGGGAGACCUGCCAGCGCGGACGAUUUUGG
rnacentral:ncRNA from 2 species